rnacentral:rRNA from 1 species
GACAGAGGCCUCAAGCGUUAGGCGGAAUCACUGGGCUUAAAGCGUGUGUAGGCGGGUCGUUAAGUACCUUGUGAAAUCCCACGGCUCACCCGUGGAACUGCUGGGUAUACUGGCGAUCUUGGGCCAUUCGGAGGGAACUGGAACAAGCGGUGGAGCGGUGAAAUGCGUAGAGAUCGGGAGGAACACCAGCGGCGAAGGCGCUACUCUGGGUCUGGCUUGACGCUCAGACACGAAGGCGAGGGGAGCGAACAGG